UACAGAGGGGCAAGCGUUAUUCGGAAUUAUUGGGCGUAAAGGGCGCGUAGGCGGGCCUGCCGCGUCCGGGGUGAAAUCCCCCGCUCCAACGGGGGAACGGCCUCGGAUACGGGCGGCCUGGAGGCGGGUAGGGGCACGCGGAACGUGUGGGUGGAGCGGUGAAAUGCGUUGAGAUCCACAGGAACUCCGGUGGCGAAGGCGGCGUGCUGGACCCGUCCUGACGC
rnacentral:rRNA from 1 species